GACAAUUAAGACACUGUCCUGGGGUGUGGGAUGUAAAGAUGUGUGUCCUGCUUCAAUGAGCAUAAAUAGCUGGCUUGAUAUAGAUUCCUCUGAACUAUGCAUAGAGACUGGAUCUUCAGUCUGUCUGAGGCCAGAACAGCCCCUUAACCUGGAGGCAAGAGUUGUCUAUUGGGCAGUGUACAAAUGGAAUAUCUGUAAUGGACUGGGCUGGAAUCCAUGUGGUG
rnacentral:lncRNA from 1 species